rnacentral:rRNA from 1 species
UACGGAGGGAGCUAGCGUUAUUCGGAAUUACUGGGCGUAAAGCGCACGUAGGCGGAUUUGUAAGUCAGGGGUGAAAUCCCGGGGCUCAACCUCGGAACUGCCUUUGAUACUGCAAAUCUCGAGUCCGGAAGAGGUGAGUGGAAUUCCUAGUGUAGAGGUGAAAUUCGUAGAUAUUAGGAAGAACACCAGUGGCGAAGGCGGCUCACUGGUCCGGUACUGACGCUGAGGUGCGAAAGCGUGGGGAGCAAACAGG